rnacentral:rRNA from 1 species
AUUGAACGCUGGCGGCAUGCUUUACACAUGCAAGUCGAACGGUAACAGGCCGCAAGGUGCUGACGAGUGGCGAACGGGUGAGUAAUGCAUCGGAACGUGCCCAGUCGUGGGGGAUAACGCAGCGAAAGCUGUGCUAAUACCGCAUACGAUCUAUGGAUGAAAGCGGGGGACCGUAAGGCCUCGCGCGAUUGGAGCGGCCGAUGUCAGAUUAGGUAGUUGGUGGGGUAAAGGCUCACCAAGCCAACGAUCUGUAGCUGGUCUGAGAGGACGACCAGCCACACUGGGACUGAGACACGGCCCAGACUCCUACGGGAGGCAGCAGCGGGGAAUUUUGGACAAUGGGCGCAAGCCUGAUCCAGCAAUGCCGCGUGCAGGAAGAAGGCCUUCGGGUUGUAAACUGCUUUUGUACGGAACGAAAAGGUUUGGGUUAAUACCCUGGGCCGAUGACGGUACCGUAAGGAUAAGCACCGGCUAACUACGUGCCAGCCGCCGCAGUAA